rnacentral:rRNA from 1 species
UAAGAGGUCCCGCCUGCCCUGUGACUCUAAGUUUAACGGCCGCGGUAUCUUAACCGUGCGAAGGUAGCGCAAUCACUUGUCUCUUAAAUGGGGACCCGUAUGAAUGGCAUAACGAGGGCUUAACUGUCUCCUUUCUCAAGUUAAUGAAAUUGACCUCCCCGUGCAGAGGCGGGGAUAUAGACAUAAGACGAGAAGACCCUAUGGAGCUUUAGGCACUAAAACUGAUCAUGUAAAAGACCUCCUAUAAGAGAAUAUAACUUUGUGUAAAGCAGUUUAAUUGCCUUUGGUUGGGGCGACCGCGGGGAAACAGAAAACCCCCAUGUGGACUGGGGCCACUAGGCCCUAGAAAUAAGAGCUCCCGCUCUAACUAACAGAACUUCUGACCUUACUGAUCCGGCCCUGGCCGAUCAACGAACCGAGUUACCCUAGGGAUAACAGCGCAAUCCCCUUAUAGAGCCCAUAUCGACAAGGGGGUUUACGACCUCGAUGUUGGAUCAGGAUAUCCUAAUGGUGCAGCCGCUAUUAAGGUUCGUU